CAUGGACAUGAGGGCCCCUUCUCAGCUCCUGGGGCUCCUGCUGCUCUGCCUCCCAGGUGCCAGAAGUGACAUCCAGAUGACACAGUCUCCAGCUCUUCUGUCAGUAUCUCGAGGUGACAGAGUCACCAUCACCUGCAGGGCCAGUGAGGGCAUUAGCGAUUAUUUACACUGGUAUCAGCAGAAACCAGGGCAAGCUCCUAAGCUGCUCAUCUAUCGUGCAGACGUUUUACAAUCUGGUGUCCCAUCACGGUUCAGUGGCAGUGGAUAUGGGACAGAUUUCACUCUCACCAUCAGCAGCCUGGAGCCUGAAGAUGUGACCGAUUAUUAUUGUCAACAAGGUAACAGUUACCCACACACAAGGCACAGACCUGACAAUGUGUCUACUCAUUGA